AAAGACACAGGCAAACAGUUCAACCUGAUCGCAGCUUCAUGGAUACAGUUCAUGGUGCACGACUGGAUGGAUCACCUGGAGGAUACUGAGCAGGUACAAGCAGGAGUUGCUUCACUGCUCAACCAAAUCAAAGCUGAGAAACAUAGUUUGUUUGUUUCUUUUCUUUUCUUGAAUCUCUCUCCCUUUCUCUUUUUGUUUUUUCCUCAUAUCUUUAAAGAUUUAUAUUCAGUUUAUUCCUUAAGAAAAUGAAAGGAUGCCAUUCCUUUUGCUAAAUAAAAUUAUCAAGAUCAGUCUUACUUUAAGCAAAUAGUUUGUACAUUUUUCUGCCAAUGUUUUUUUUAUAGAAAUUAACAAAAUUAUAUAGAUUAAUCAUGUAAGUAUAUGUUCAUCAUAAUAUGUGGAAUUAGGCUUUCACUUUCAUGGUUUUCUUUUCUUUUAUCUUUCUUUCUUUACAUGUGAUUUAUACUGAGAACUUUUUAUUUUUCUUUACAAAGGGUAAGUGAUGAAUAUAUGAUUCGAACAUAGGAGGAGCUUAUGAUAUACUAUCAAAAUCGUUACCAAUUAAGUAAAUUAAAACCUCUAAAAUUAUAUCAAGGACUUGUAUAUGUGUCAUGAUAUCUCUGAGUUUUUUUUUUCUUUUUAUUUUUCUUCUACUAUGACUUACAAAAUUAUCUCAAUGAUAUGUAUAUUUUUAGCAAAAGGAUGCCACUCCUUUUGCUAAAUACUUUGAGCAAAUGAUUUAUAUUUUUCUUUGCCAAUUUUUUUCUUAAAAAUUAAUAAAAUUACAUAGAUUAAUCCUGUAAGUAGUAUAUGUUCUUGCACAAUAUUUGGAAUUAGGCUUUCACUUUCAUAUUUUUCUUUCUUUCUAUCUUUAUUUUUAACUUUGUUUUCUUUCUUUCUUUCUUUACAUGUGACUUAUAUCAAGGAUUUCUUUUUUUUUUUGUGCAAAAGGUAAGUCGCGAAGGUGGAAUUCAAACACUGAACCUUACGAGAUACUAUCAAGUCUUUACCAACUAAGCUAACUGGCACCUUCAAAAUUAUAUCAAUGACUCGUAUAUGUGUCGUAAAAUUUUAUUUUCCUUUUUACUAUGGCUUACAAAAUUAUAUCAAUGAUAUGUAAUAAAUAUCAUGGCAAAAUCCAAUGGCUAAUAGGAAACUGUGUUUUGGAGUCCAAAAGAAAAAGGAAACUUAGAUCUUCUACCAUACAACAUAUCCAUUUCUACGUCCAUCACACUUGAAACGGUUAUCAUAUUUGGUUGAAUAUAAUUGACUCUCUUCAAUCUUUGAGUAAGAUAAGAUUAAUUCUUAGCUCAUCUCAUACUCUAUACAUAAAUAGCAUGCAUGCAUAUGUCAAUUUGUUCACAAAGCAAAGUUUAUGAUGGAAAAAAUGGAAAAAAACAUGAUUGGAAGAACCUUUGAUUUCUUUGCUGUUGGCCAUGCGAAUUAUUCAUUCAGUAAACGCACCUGACAUGCCUGCACACAGGUAGUACUCCAUGCUCCUCCGCUGGUCGCUCAUGAAUGCCCGCUGAAGUCAUUCAGGUUCUACAGCACAAAGGAGGUGCCCACAGGUGGUGAAGCCAUUGAGACAGGCCACCUAAACAUCCAGACUUCUUGGUGGUAUGUACUCCCGUGCGAUCGAAUUGCUAUGUGCGUGAUCUGAGUAGUGUAACGCACCAUAUGACAUUGUCAUCUAAUCAACUGCAGAUAAGCUUCAAUUCGCUGAUUCAUAGGGUUUCUUAAUUGGCCUCUACCAAAAUAUAUUGGACUACACGAGAGGUCACUGAUAGGGUGAUCCAGUUUCUCAUUCUCUUAUCUUCAUCAGUUUGAUCGAAGAAGCACACAAAGGAAAAGAAUGAAAAGGAAAUCACAACUUAUAUCACCCUAAACCUUUUCCUUUGAACGUAGAAAUUGCAAAUGAAUCAAAAGCAGCAGUCCGUAAUGCAUACUCAUCCAAUUAUAUUCUUGUAUUUGUUACUUAUAGAACUCCUAUAAUGGAAUGUCUGUAGGGAUGGAAGUGCUAUAUAUGGAAGUGAAGGAAAAAAGGAGGCAAAGGUGAGGACGCAUGUCGAUGGAAAAUUGAAGAUAGGGGACAAUGGUCUUCUUCAACACGAGGUUAAUGGAAUCGCAAUAUCCGGCGACAUUCGAAAUAGCUGGGCUGGAGUUUCUGCUUUGCAAGCUCUCUUUGUCAAGGAACACAACGCUGUUUGCGAUGCCCUAAAGGCUAGUAAAGCAUUUCUCCAAGUUCAUCCUUUUGUUGCAUGUCUUUGAGGGCGAGCCUUGACAUCACGGUAAGAUUACUUGUUUACCAUGCAUGUUUGUCCUUCAGGAGGAAGAUCGUGAUCUUAACGACGAAGCGUUGUUUCGGCACGCAAGACUUGUAACAUCUGCAGUCAUUGCGAAAAUUCACACCAUUGAUUGGACGGUGGAGCUCCUUAAAACUCAUACCAUGAAUGCUGCCAUGCAUACCAACUGGUAGGGAGGGAUUAAUACUAAACCAUAUGCUCACUGAGACAUCCACUUCUCUACUAUGUAAUUGAUUGGUUUCUUCUCUUUUCUGCAGGUAUGGCUUGUUGGGGAAGAAGAUUAAAGACACCUUUGGGCACAUAGGAGGACCUGCUCUUGGAGGACUAGUUGGACUUAAGAAACCUAAUAACCAUGGAGUUCCCUACUCCUUGACCGAUGAGUUCACUAGUGUUUACAGAAUGCACUCGCUCCUUCCAGAUUCUCUUAAGCUUAGGAACAUCAAUACCAA
rnacentral:lncRNA from 1 species